GGAUCUACUGGUAGCCAUGUGGAAGAGCAUGCUGAACCACGUCAUAAACAUGCACGCUGGCCAUGACAGCCCUUAUCCGAGGUGUCUGCACGGGGAUGUGCAAAAUGGAAAGUGGUUGACACCAGGCACCCCGGCUUACGCACGUCUCGUGAGCAUAGCUACAGAACAGGGGCUACUGAAGGAUAUAAGGAAGCUUUCCUCUUCUGGACAAACUUAUGGACUUGAAUCGUAUCACAGUCU